rnacentral:rRNA from 1 species
UAGGGAAUAUUAGAAAUGGACGAAAGUCUGAUCUAGCAACACCGCGUGUGCGAAGAAGGCCUUCGGGUCGUAAAGCACUUUUUGGAAGGAAUAGGAAGGAAUGUACUUCCAGAAUAAGUCUCAGCUAACUACGUGCCAGCAGCCGCGGUAACACGUAGGAGGCAAACGUUAUCCGGAUUUACUGGGCGUAAAGCGCGUGUAGGUGGUACUGUAAGUAGGGCGUGAAAGCUCCUGGCUCAACUGGGGGAGGCCGUUCUAAACUACAGAACUAGAGGAUGGUAGAGGGAGGUGGAAUUCCAGGUGUAGCGGUGGAAUGCGCAGAUAUCUGGAGGAACACCGGUGGCGAAGGCGGCCUCCUGGACCAUUCCUGACACUCAGACGCGAAAGCUAGGGUAGCAAACG